CGCGUCCUAACAUGCAAGUCGAGCGGGAAAAAUGGGGGCAACUCCAUGAGUACAGCGGCGCACGGGUGAGUAACACGUAGGUAACCUACCUGCGAGACAGGGAUAACCUGCCGAAAGGCGGGCUAAUACCCGAUAAGACCACGAGGGCUGCGGCUCUUGGGGUAAAAGGUGGCCUCUCCUUGGAAGCUACCACUCGCGGAUGGGCCUGCGCGCCAUUAGCUAGUUGGCGGGGUAACGGCCCACCAAGGCAAAGAUGGCUAGCUGGUCUGAGAGGAUGGCCAGCCACACUGGGACUGAGACACGGCCCAGACUCCUACGGGAGGCAGCAGUGGGGAAUAUUGCGCAAUGGGCGAAAGCCUGACGCAGCGACGCCGCGUGGGUGAUGAAGGCCUUCGGGUCGUAAAGCCCUGUCGGGAGGGACGAAACCUCGGUGACCUAAUACGUCAUCGACCUGACGGUACCUCCUAAGGAAGCACCGGCUAACUCCGUGCCAGCAGCCGCGGUAAUACGGAGGGUGCAAGCGUUGUUCGGAAUUACUGGGCGUAAAGCGGGUGUAGGCGGUCGCUUAAGUCUGAUGUGAAAGCCCGGGGCUCACCUCCGGAAGAGCAUUGGAAACUGAGCGACUAGAGUGCCGGAGAGGAGGGUGGAAUUCCUGGUGUAGCGGUGAAAUGCGUAGAUAUCAGGAGGAACACCGGUGGCGAAGGCGGCCCUCUGGACGGAUACUGACGCUGAGACGC
rnacentral:rRNA from 1 species